GUUUUGACGCACUAUUUCCCCCUAGAAUUUCAGAAUUUUUCUUUUCCCUCAAAACCCUAACUAACCUUACCAUACUGCUUCCUCUUUGUUUACUCUUCUUCUCUUUCCAAGCUCGAACCGUCCGAGAAAAUCCAUGAACACAACUUCACCACUUCCAUCGUUCACCACUGAAAAUUCAAUAAACAAUAAACUUGUCUGGUGAUUUGGGAUUUUCUCUUAUUGAUUUUUCAGAGAUUUUGAAGAUGGAGAAAAAGAUGAUAUAUCGAUUUAUCUUUUUUCCUAUAUUCGUAGACUGAUUUCCGGGGGAGAAAGCAGGAUAGGUUCAAUAACAUGAGGAGAGGGAAACAAGAAGCAGACAGCUGUCCCCAGUCGAGUUCGCCAGGGUUUAUGAAAUUCCUAAACAGAUUAUCCCAGAAUGAAGGAAACAGGAAAGGGACCACCUUCUGCGGAAGAAGAGGACCUGAAGUCGUUAGUGCUCCGUGACAAGGAUGAUAAAUUGACUUCCGAGUUCGGUGAUGAUGAUGAAGUUGUUUCUUUUAUCAAAGCGUUGUUUGAUGCUGGAGUUCACCGUGAUGGAUGCAACUGCACAAGUUGCUCCAACAAUGUUGAGAACCAUCCGUAUUUUGAAACCCAUGGACUUCAAUAAUUGAUGUUUGUGUAUUUGUUUGAAUAGGGGAUUUGUAUGUUUUAACUUGAAUAUCGAGAGGAAGGAGAGAGCAUGGAAUUGUUCAGUUCGUGUGAGUGCAUUGAAAACCACUGUUAGAAACUUCAUGGACAUUUUUAUGAGAACGCCGGAAGUGGUAGUUACAGAUCCAAUUGUUAGAAAGAAGGUUCAGAAGGAAACAUAAGGAGACCGAGUCAGUAAGCAGUUAAUGGAGUUGGAAUGACAAUAGGUAAUGUAUUGCAUUCUUUAUUUGUAUUGCUCUAUUGUCCAUUACUGGUCUUCUUUAAAUUCUUGUAAUUCUCUUGCCAUGGAUAUAACUGCCUUCGUUUCCAAAACCCUGACUUUCUACUACAUAAAGCAUUUUGCUAUAUAUUUGUAUGCUUUACUCUUAUUCUUAUGUUUUGAUUACUCAAAUAGUUAGUAAUAAAAUAACUUAAUUUUUACGCAAGAUUAUGUUCAUCUCUUCAUCAUUUUAGCCCUUUGUUUGUGGUCUUUUUGCUUCUAAGUUUGUCGAUACAACAACAGCAACCCCUUAGGAUCAACAACAACAAGAACCAGAAUAACCCCCCAUCAAUGAUCAAUCUUUUGUCAGGUAAGUAACUUUGUCAAUCUAUUCGUACGACUUACCUAUUUUGGAUGUGCAUUUCUUUUAUGAUUCAUAUAAUUUUUGAAUUAAGGGGUAUUGAGAACUUAGGAUGUUAGGUGCAUCUCAAUGUUUGAUUGAUCUAAACAUGAUUCGGAAUCCGAUUCUUAUGAAAUCGUUAAUUAUGAAGUGUGAAACUAUUAAUUUUCAGUUUGAGUAUCAUAAAUGAGGAAUGUGAGUCAGUUAAUCUGUAUCUAGGUUGAGCAUUAUGAUAGUGAGGAUUGGUAUUUAAUGGUAUACAAAAUGAUGAAUUUGGGGUUUUACAUCGAUGUCUUACAUG